rnacentral:SRP_RNA from 1 species
GCCCGGCAAGGUGGCACGUGCCUGCAGUCCCAGCUACUUGGGAGGCUGAGGUGGGAGGAUCGCUUGAGCCCAGGAGUUCUGGGCUGUAGUGUGCUAUGCCAAUCGGGUGUCCACACUAAGUUCAGCAUCAAUAUGGUGACCUCCCGGGAGUAGGGGACCACCAGAUUGCCUAAGGAGGGGUGAACCGGCCCAGGUCAGAAAUGGAGCAGGUCAAAACUCCCGUGCUGAUCAGUAGUGGCUUCACACCUGUGAAUAGCCACUGCACUCCAGCCUGGGCAACAUAGCGAGAUCCCGUCUCU